CGUACACUCCUGCGGGAGGCAGCAGUGGGGAAUAUUGGACAAUGGGCGCAAGCCUGAUCCAGCCAUGCCGCGUGAGUGAUGAAGGCCCUAGGGUUGUAAAGCUCUUUCACCGGUGAAGAUAAUGACGGUAACCGGAGAAGAAGCCCCGGCUAACUUCGUGCCAGCAGCCGCGGUAAUACGAAGGGGGCUAGCGUUGUUCGGAUUUACUGGGCGUAAAGCGCACGUAGGCGGACUAUUAAGUCAGGGGUGAAAUCCCGGGGCUCAACCCCGGAACUGCCUUUGAUACUGGUAGUCUUGAGUGCGAGAGAGGUGAGUGGAAUUCCGAGUGUAGAGGUGAAAUUCGUAGAUAUUCGGAGGAACACCAGUGGCGAAGGCGGCUCACUGGCUCGAUACUGACGCUGAGGUGCGAAAGCGUGGGGAGCAAACAGGAUUAGAAACCCCUGUAGUCCCAUGAU
rnacentral:rRNA from 1 species